AAGAAAGAGAGUGAGAAUGUGAGAUAACGAUCCGAAACCGCACUCCGAUCCGAAACCCUCUUCGAAACCGCACUUCGAUCCGAAACACAUUGAAAUCACACUUCGAUCCGAAACCCUAACCUAAGUUAACGUGCCUCGAUGGAGCUUCGUUCUUGUUGAUCCCUUUCCAAUCCCAUAGUUUCUGGGAUAUUGAUUAUCACACUGCUCUUCAUGUUGCCGCGUGUGAGAGAUUCACUGAGGUCGUUGAGUAUUUGCUCCAGAAAGUUGCCGAAGUUGACGCCAAGGAUCGAUGGGCAAGCACGUGACUUUUCCAUGGUCUUCUGUACGGGCUAGGGAUGAUGUCGUUGUUGAAGAUGAAACUAAUGGCGAGUUUCUAUUGUAUCUUCAUAUUUGGAUAUAGUUUAUGAUCCUGAUUCAGGUUCUGACUUUGAAGAUACUAGGUAAAAUGAACAUUGCUGCAUGGGUAGCAAAGAAGAGGAGGAUAAGGAUGCAUCCAGUUCCUUGAAAACUAAAGCAGAACCACCUAAGAGUUUCAUUGAAGCACGUGCAGUAGCAUGGGAGGAAGCUGAGAAGGCCAAGUAUAUGGCCAGCUAUUGGCUUGAAGUGAAAAAGGCUUGAGAUCCCACCUGAUGUCUCACAAGAUUACACUAUUUUAGUUGUCCUAGGAUAGGAAUUUGGUUCCCCAAAAAUUUGAACCAAACAAUAAUUGACAGAGUUGUGAAGGGAGAUGAGAUGGAAUGCAUGAAAGAAAAAGAGGUUUGAUGGUUCACCUAGGUCCUCAAAAAUUACUGCAUUUUAUGGCUUGAAGACACCUCCUUAUGAACUUGAUGCCUUAGAGCACAAUUGACAUGCACUGGGUGAAUAUCAUCAGAAUUUUAUAGAAGGUUUGAACAAACAGCUAGAAAAGGAUGAUAUACUAUAUGGUUACACCUUGGAUGAGCUAGUCAAAGUGACAUACAACAAUGGGAAUUCGUUCCCCGAAUUCAACAAUGCAGCUGGGGAAAAAUUGGUUGCAUUUAAAUGAUGAGUCUUUCAGUCGACAGAUGAUGAAAAAGGUAUAUGAUCUUUUUAUACUUGACCUUGAUGUCGACAAAUAGAGAUGGUUAUGAUUCGAUGUAUUUGGUAUUCAUGGUGGGAAAAUUUAGGGUGUUAAAAUCCUAUAUAUUUGACUUUGUCCCUGAACUCGAUAAAAUAUAGGGUAAGAAAGCCUUGUAUAUGAUGAUUAUUUUAGCCGAUAAAUGAUG